GGCGAAGUAGCUCAGUUGGCGAGAGCACACGGUUCAUACCCGUGGUGUCGGGGGUUCAAAUCCCUCCUUCGCUA
rnacentral:tRNA from 2 species